AGUCGAACGAACUUCCGUUAAUUGAUCAGGACGUGCUUGCACUGAAUGAGAUUUUAACACGAAGUGAGUGGCGGACGGGUGAGUAACACGUGGGUAACCUGCCCAGAAGCAGGGGAUAACACCUGGAAACAGAUGCUAAUACCGUAUAACAGAGAAAACCGCCUGGUUUUCUUUUAAAAGAUGGCUCUGCUAUCACUUCUGGAUGGACCCGCGGCGCAUUAGCUAGUUGGUGAGGUAACGGCUCACCAAGGCGAUGAUGCGUAGCCGACCUGAGAGGGUAAUCGGCCACAUUGGGACUGAGACACGGCCCAGACUCCUACGGGAGGCAGCAGUAGGGAAUCUUCCACAAUGGACGCAAGUCUGAUGGAGCAACGCCGCGUGAGUGAAGAAGGGUUUCGGCUCGUAAAGCUCUGUUGUUAAAGAAGAACGUGGGUGAGAGUAACUGUUCACCCAGUGACGGUAUUUAACCAGAAAGCCACGGCUAACUACGUGCCAGCAGCCGCGGUAAUACGUAGGUGGCAAGCGUUAUCCGGAUUUAUUGGGCGUAAAGCGAGCGCAGGCGGUCUUUUAAGUCUAAUGUGAAAGCCUUCGGCUCAACCGAAGAAGUGCAUUGGAAACUGGGAGACUUGAGUGCAGAAGAGGACAGUGGAACUCCAUGUGUAGCGGUGAAAUGCGUAGAUAUAUGGAAGAACACCAGUGGCGAAGGCGGCUGUCUGGUCUGUAACUGACGCUGACGCUCGAAAGCAUGGGUAGCGAACAGG
rnacentral:rRNA from 1 species